rnacentral:misc_RNA from 1 species
ACAUAUACUUAGUUCAGAACAUUGUUCCGGGGAACAGUAAAGAAGAUGGAGACGGCGCUUUGCAUUUUUAUGCUUUUUCUGGCGGGGGUGUCGGCAAACAUCACGUCACGUGUGCCUGAGUGAGACUCUGCUCCGUUAUCUGGUGGACCUUGGUACACACGGAUACAUCCAUAUAAAUGAGAUCGCGGGGGCGUGUCAUUCCUGCCACUCCUACCACUACAGGGGCACUGCCGUGGACAUUGACCCAGGCUCCAGGAAACACGAACUCAUCAGCAAGUGUAGCUCCAUGGGCGGCUGGCCCAACGACGAGAUCAACCACAUUCACUGUCAAUUCAACCAUUAAAUAAAUUUUCAAUUUAUUCAUUCAAUAAAAAUCCAAUAUGAAUCUAAUCAAUGUUCAAUACGUCAAAUUAACAAUAAAUCAAAAUGAUAUAAUUCC